CUAAGCACGAAACUUGCCCCGAGAUGAGUUCUCCCUGAGACUUAGAGUCUCCUGAAGGAACGUUGAAGACGACGACGUUGAUAGGCCGGGUGUGUAAGCGCAGCGAUGCGUUGAGCUAACCGGUACUAAUGAACCGUGAGGCUUAACCUU
rnacentral:rRNA from 1 species